CUGACACUGAGGAACGAAAGCUAGGGGAGCAAACAGGAUUAGAUACCUUGGUAGUCCUAGCCCUAAACCAUCAGGACUUGGGGUGGCCCGCGUAGGCGUGUCGUCCAGUAGCUAACGCGUUAAGUCUUGCGCCUGGGGAGUACGGUCGCAAGACUGAAACUCAAAGGAAUUGACGGGGGCCCGCACAAGCGGUGGAACAUGUGGUUCAAUUCGACGCAACGCGAAGAACCUUACCUGGGCUUGAACCGCUACUGACCAACGGUAGAAAUAUCGUCUUCCCGCAAGGGACAGUAGUAGAGGUGCUGCAUGGCUGUCGUCAGCUCGUGCCGUGAGGUGUUGGGUUAAGUCCCGCAACGAGCGCAACCCUUACUCGUAGUUGCUACCCGCAAGGGAGAACUCUACGAGGACUGCUCCGGAUAACGGAGAGGAAGGUGGGGAUGACGUCAAGUCAGCACGGCCUUUAUGUCCAGGGCUACACACGUGUUACAAUGCACGGUACAGACUGUUGCGAACCCGCGAGGGGGAGCUAAUCGGAUAAAACCGUGCUCAGUUCGGAUUGCAGUCUGCAACUCGGCUGCAUGAAGCUGGAAUCGCUAGUAAUGGCGUAUCAGAUCGACGCCGUGAAUACGUUCCCGGGCCUUGUACACACCGCCCGUCACAUCACGAAAGUGAGCUGUACUAGAAGUCGCGCAGCUAACCGCAAGGAAGCACGCGCCCAAGGUAUGGCCCAUGAUUGGGGUGAAGUCGUAACAAGGUAACC
rnacentral:rRNA from 1 species